rnacentral:rRNA from 1 species
GACGAACGCUGGCGGCGUGCUUAACACAUGCAAGUCGAACGGAAAGGCCCUGCUUUUGUGGGGUGCUCGAGUGGCGAACGGGUGAGUAACACGUGAGUAACCUGCCCUUGACUUUGGGAUAACUUCAGGAAACUGGGGCUAAUACCGGAUAGGAGCUCCUGCUGCAUGGUGGGGGUUGGAAAGUUUCGGCGGUUGGGGAUGGACUCGCGGCUUAUCAGCUUGUUGGUGGGGUGGUGGCUUACCAAGGCUUUGACGGGUAGCCGGCCUGAGGGGGUGACCGGCCACAUUGGGACUGAGAUACGGCCCAGACUCCUACGGGAGGCAGCAGUGGGGAAUAUUGCACAAUGGGCGGAAGCCUGAUGCAGCAACGCCGCGUGCGGGAUGACGGCCUUCGGGUUGUAAACCGCUUUCGCCUGUGACGAAGCGUGAGUGACGGUAAUGGGUAAAGAAGCACCGGCUAACUACGUG